CCAAUCUUUUAAAAUCCCAAAAUACCCUUAUGUUUUUUUUUAUAUAUUUUUUUCUUUCCUUUCUUCGACUUUUCUCCUCCAUCUCUUUAUCCAUAACCAGACCUUAGGAGCCCUCUGUUUCCUUUCUCAUCGGCCGGAUUGUAAGUGUGGAGACUGCGCGUUUUGAAGGAGAUGGUGAAGAAGCGACUCAGAGAGAAAACUGCAGGGUUUUAGAGAGCCCUAGGAGCAAAAGCAGAAGCAACAGGCAUUUCUUGCUGAGAGAUAUGUAUGAUGAUAUGAUGCUGGAUGGAGUACAGCCAACUAGGGAUACAUUCCAUUCUGUCAUCAGUUAGUGGAAAGGUGCUUUCAUGUUUGUUAUCAUGGACUUUCAUUCUUUCUAGAAUUUUCCGUUUUGCUUGAUUUUGUUUUGUUGCAGGUGUAUAAGCAAAAUGCUCAUUUCUUUGGUAUUACGAUCAACGAGCAACAAGCCGAGUGUGGUAUUGUAGUAAGAGUUACUUCAAAUGCACAAAGCAAAUUUAAGUUACUUUAUUUCGAGCAAGAUGUGAAUAGCAGUUAUGAUUUGGCCCUACAGGUACCAUAUCUUCUUUUCUAUUGUGUCUCCAAUCCAUUUUCCAUUUUAUAGUGCAUAUGAUUUUUGCAUUCUGAAAGCUAUCAUGGUUGUUUAAAAAAUUUGAAGCAUAGAUGGAGUCAACAGUGCCAAUGAUCAUAUACAAUUGGUAGAAAUGUUUUGUACUACUCUUGUCAUGUUAAACUUUCUGCUGUUAUAUCCUUCAAUUUCUAAGUACUAUGCGUCUCUAAUUUAUUUUCAAAGCAUAAAAUUGUGGCUGUGAAAUUGUGAUUUUGAAUAUCACACAUGGGUAGAACUUAAAAUUAGUAACCUACCUGUGAAUGUGAAAAUGAUGCUCAACUUGUCUUUUCAAGUGAAUGCUUCUUCAUCCAGCUUCCAAUUUCCACC